rnacentral:rRNA from 1 species
AUUGAACGCUGGCGGCAUGCCUAACACAUGCAAGUCGAACGGUAACAGUCCUAGCUUGCUAGGAGCUGACGAGUGGCGGACGGGUGAGUAACGCGUAGGAAUCUGCCUUGCAGUGGGGGAUAACACUAGGAAACUGGUGCUAAUACCGCAUACGCCCUAAGGGGGAAAGAUUAAUUGCUGCAAGAUGAGCCUGCGUCAGAUUAGCUAGUUGGUGGGGUAAAGGCCCACCAAGGCGAAGAUCUGUAGCUGUUCUGAGAGGAAGAUCAGCCACACUGGGACUGAGACACGGCCCAGACUCCUACGGGAGGCAGCAGUGGGGAAUAUUGGACAAUGGGCGCAAGCCUGAUCCAGCAAUGCCGCGUGUGUGAAGAAGGCCUGUGGGUUGUAAAGCACUUUCAGGGGGGAAGAAGACCAUUUCGGUGGAUUGACGGUACUCCCAGAAGAAGCACCGGCUAACUCUGUGCCAGCCGCCGCCGUAA